UGCCCUUGUGGUGGAAUGGUAGACACUCAGCAUUUAAAAUGCUGUGCAAUUUUUUGCGUGACGGUUCAAAUCCGUUCGAGGGCAA
rnacentral:tRNA from 1 species